AUGGCUUUAAACUGGGAGAGGGUAGACUUAGAUUAAAUAUUAGAAAGAAGUUCAUUCUUGUGAGGGUGGCGAGAUGCUGGUACAGGUUGCCCAGACAAGCUGUGAAAGCUCCAUCCCUGGCAGCUUUAAGGCCAGGUUGGAUGAGGCUUUGAGCAACCUUGUCUAGUGGAAGGUGUCCCUGCCUUUGGCAGGGGUGUUGAAACAGGAUGAUCUUUAAGGUCCCUUCCAACCCAAACCAUUCUGUGUAUGUGCAUUAGAUGAG